ensembl:snRNA U1 U1 spliceosomal RNA
AUACUUACCUGGCAGGAGAGACACCAUGAUCUGGAAGGUGGUUUUCCCAGGGUGAUUGUCUCUGAUAUGUCCUCCAUAGGAGGUCUAUAUUGAACAGAUUCUUUUUGAUAUUGGUUGGUGGACCUGGAGCGUGCUCCAUCCACUC